GGACCUGUGUAAACUAUGUGGGAGCCGCCUCACACGCGAGGGGUCGCUGGUUCGAACCCAGCCGGGACCA
rnacentral:tRNA from 1 species